rnacentral:rRNA from 1 species
AUGAGAAACCACAAGGGUUGGAGUAAAAACAGCCGAAGAGAUAAGGUUAUCUUCCUUUUUCUCUCAAGAGCGGUUCCUGAUGGGGAUUUCUCCCGUAACCGCCAGCGUGCAGGAGACGGGAGGCGGCGCGGCGCACGGCCAUGGUGUGGGGCGCGUCGCAGAGCAGGCGGACGGGUGCGGGGCGCGUCGGGCUGGCACGACCAGGGGCCACGACUCUCCUUGGACCGAGGAUCCGGGCCGUGGCCCUUGCUGACGGAGCCACGGACGCCGGUGGAGGGCGGGUCGACGCGACCACGUAGCCGCCGUCGUGGGCUCUGCCACGCCGCGAUGAUGCAGGCUGCGGCCGCACAAUCAUCUUCAUACCUCCGCGGUCCAACGAUAGGACAGAUACGCACGACGACGAAUGUCCUUGUGGAGAAGAAAUUCAGUUCUUCUUCCACUUUUGAUUUUCCUCUCAUGGAGUUCACUGGAGUUGAAAAUCGCUGGAGUUGCCGCCGCUCUCCGCCGAGGGCACUGCAAUUCGUGUGGGCUCCUCCGACGUCUGGUACAGCAGUGACGCUCCUCCGACGUGUGGACUAUAUUUUUGUUUUAAAGAAUAUAUCCCUCUCGGCUCCAGUAUCUAAGAAGACUCCAUUACCCGUUUCAUUGUCUUAUCGUGGAAAUGAAGUGCUGCCAGAACUUAUUUCAAAGUGCGGGGGGCUUCCCUUAAUAAUAGUUGCUGUAGCCAGCAUAUUGGCUACCAAGGGAGGCACAUGGAUGGAUACUGCUAGUUCCAUCAAUCUAAGGUUUAUGCAUGAGAUAGAGAUCAACCCCGAGUUUGAGUGCCUAUGGGAUCUAUUUAGUUGGAUGCAUUCCUGCUUCCGUAGUUGCCCAUAUUCUGUCAAGCCAUGUAUCUUUGACCUAUCACUUUUUCCUCGAGACUACAACAUUCGGCAAAGGCGCCUAAUAAGGCGUUGGAUUGCUGAUGGCUACUCCAGGGACAGCGAUGGUAAAUCUGCUGAGGAGAAUGGGGAGGAGUUCUUCUCCAAGCUCCACAAUCUGAGCAUAAUCCAACAGCAACCAGAGUCAGCCACGUUUAGUGACAUAAGGAUGGUCUUGUGUCGAGUCAAUGGAUUUUUGCGCGAGUGCAUCUGCUCACAGGGAAUGCAGGAGAACCUUGUAUAUGAACUUGCCGGCACUUGCAGCCUCCCCCAACGCACUGGGCGUCAUCUUGUCAUAUUGGAAAGCUGGGGUAGGGAUAGGAUUGUGCUCGAGAGCAUUGACUUGUCAAGGCUGCGGUCAAUGACAGUGUUUGGGGAGUGGAAACCAUUCUUCAUCUCCCAGAGCACGAAGCUUCUCAGGGUGUUGGAUCUGGAGGAUGCAGUCGGUGUAACAAAUGAUGAUGUCGAGCAGAUGGUGAUCUGA